ACACACACACAUUUCGUCCUGCGGGAACACAGCCGCUGCGGGAGGAAAGCACGAGUUUCAUCAGAUGAAACAGUAAGAUGUCCAAAAGGUACUCCUUCCCACAGCCUCCCAGGACUGCUACCAGAUACAUGUGACGACUGACAAGAGAUAAGUUAAAAUAAAUAACUGGAAGUAAAUGAAAACAUGGAAACAGUCAAGGAGUCAUAGGACCAAAGAGCAUGAUACUCCAGGCUAGUAAUUUCACUAUUCAAUGCCCUGAGUUUUGUUGCCGUUUCCUAUAUAGGCAGCCUCAGCAAGCCUAGAGGAUGCAGAGUCGACCUGAGUUAAGAUAUGUGCUGUGAGUGAAAAAGCUUGAUUCAGUUUUUCUCCUGAGGAGAAGGUGGCUGCUUCAGUUCUGCUGCACCUCAGGAUGUGUUGUACCUAGGCAAGUCUCACAUCAUUUCAUGUCCUGCUAUCAAAAGUUUCAUUGCCUUUAUGCUACUUAAAAAAGCUAUGUUAAAAUGCACACACAUAUGUAGGCUGAUUAAAUAACCUUUUGUUCCCUAACUCUAAAACAUAUUUUUUUUUCCCUUUGCUACUACGUGGAUCAAGCAGCUCUAGAGUCUAUGAAGUGAGCCUAAUUUAUUCCUGACUUGUGCUGGAAUAAUUUAUGUUCUUGAGCCUUUGCAGAUGUAUAGUCACUAGAGAGCUGCCUGCUUACGGGAGUUUUUACACAUAUUUUGUCUAAAUCAGAGCUCCAAAUGCAAUGUCGGAGAUGCAGGGAGUUUGUGUGGAUUUGUAGCACUCCCUGGAGGACUCUGUGUCUAUAAACCAAUAAACAUUUCACAAUUCUCAGCAAGUGAAGAUUUUCAUAAUUUCUGAUGUAUGCAGUAUUGACCAUGCUUCUCAUUUUAAUUUCAGUAAUAUUCCAUAGGUAAUAAGUAAUUGGAAAAUAAAUUCUUGCAGGUGAACGCUAAAAGCAAAAAUUAGUCUUUCUAUACUUAGCUGCUGCCAUUUUCUUAUUAUAAACUAAAGAGGCGAAACAAAAUAAUCAUUUAUAAACAAAACACAUCUCACACUGGUUGAAAACUACAGUGAGAUGCAGAUAUUUUGUGGCCAAAACAUUCAAAAAGAAGGCAGGAAGAAACAGCCAUCUCAUUUCUAUAUAGAUUGAUUAUUUUUUCUUUGCAUAUGUAGUUUGACCAUCACAGGUUCAGCUGAAAAUAGUUAAUUCUUCAGAAAACUGACUGUGCCAACCUGUAGGCAGAUGUGAAGGUUAAAAUUCCUAAUUGUUGCUCUGAAAUCAGUUGAUACAAAGGAUGAUUAAAUACAGGGUCAAGACUUCAAAUUUAUUCCUUAGUCAGUAAGAUGUUAAUUUGGUAAGAAAGUGACUACAAAAUGUUUUCUGAAAGAGUCAGAACCCAUUGCUGCAUGUGGAGAACUGCAAACAUACCGACAGCAUGUACGGCUGGUGUUUACAGAGGUCUAUGAAUAAUAAAUAAUCUAGUUAAAUAACCAUUGUUAGAGCUAUGCAAACAAGAGAGCAAAUAAAUCAAGACCUCCUGCUCAUGCAUAGAUACCAACCACAGUACUUUUUCAUUUUUUUUUCUUUGUUUUCUUUGUUUGCUUAAAUAGGAGAGACAAAUAGCGGAUGCAGGUGUAAUCAGCUAAAAAUUGUGAAGCUAGUAAGAAGUGUUUUGGAAAAGAUCACCAAGUGGAUCAAUCCCCCUAUCAGAAACAGUCAGCAGGGGAAAGCAGUUUGCACCAGUAUAUGUACCCUGCCAUUCAGACUGUAUCAAUUUGUUUCUGCAACUGGCAUAAUGUGGCACAGUUCAGAGAGAAUCUCACAUAUGACUGCUGACAUACAGACAUACAGUGCUGGAAGUAAAGGAGAUUCAUGAGCAAAAGUGAAAAGGCUGCUUUUUUUUUUUUUUCACUUUUUUUUUUUUUUCUCCUUCAUAUGGGAAUUCAACUGUUUUAUUUUGUAUAGUGUUAUAUGUAAAAUCCAUUCUUUUAAACUGAUAUUACUACAUUCAGUGCUUAUAGUAUUCUGUUUAUUGUUUCUCUGUGUGAUUGUCUAUCUGUGCAGAAUUUCAUAUGAAAAAAUGAAAUACAUGGAUUACAUAUCAAGUACCUGCUUCCUUGCGUUAUCCUAUCCAGAAAUAAUAAUGUUUUUUAUGUUGAAAGAUGGUUGGGAAAAGGUUAAUUCUGUAUCUGGAUAAGUAAGAUACAUUUAUUUCCUAAUUCUGUAUUUCAUUUCUGGGAAUUUCUAUGAUAUAACCCCCUCUACUUGCCUAUCCAGUUGCUGUUUAAAUAUAAUAAAAUGCAACACUUAUUCAUCUUGAGACUCUUGACAUCUACAUAAAUAUCGCUAUGUGUGCAGAAUGAGUUAGGCACAACCAGUUUAGCACAGAAGCAGCACUGCUGUGUUCUCUGCUCUGCAUUGCAUGUAGUGCUUCAGUGCUUUGCAUAACAGCACAGAAAAGAAGCUUUAGGAGAUCCUUAGGCACAACCUGGGCACAGGAAGGCAAAAGUUUAAUGUGAGACAGGGCUUUUCCUUUUCGUUCUCUAAAUUUAAACACGAGGCAACACCCAAAGCACAGGAUUUAUUAAUGUAUUUGUCACACCUCCUAACUGAGCACUUCGGGAGUAUCUCUUUAUUGGUUGGUAGGUUUUUGUGUCAUUUUUAAUGAGAACAUACAGCUGUGCAAAUUGUCAUAAUUAUAGUUUUUGCCUACUUUCAAGUGCCUCCUUCUUUUUGGUGAAAAAACUCCCUACAGCAAGCUGUCUUCCCCACAUCCAACAACUGGUAUGUCCCUCUCAGAGUACUGUUGGAUGGUUUUCAAGUGAUGGGAUGCCAAAAGGGAACAGUGGAGAUCUUGAUGCUGUGGAGGGUAAAAGUGACAGCAAUGUUCUGCCUGAGACCACAGGAUCCUUCUGGAGGUAGGUGGGCAAUAGUCUGCAGAUCCCAGUACUACUGAUGGAGUGAAUUCCAGGGGGAAGGAUGGUCACAGGAGUAAGAGCCACACCCUCUUCUUCUCCCCUCCCCUCCCCCUGCCCCCACUUUUCCUCCUCUUGAAGAUUUUGAUUUACAUCAAGGUAUGCAAAAUCACGGCCACACAGAGCUCACCAAGCAAACAGCCUUGCACUGUAGCACACCCCUGCCCAAAGCUUGCUCUGAUCAGUGCUUUAAACAUUGUAAACGGGAAGAAUCAAUAGAAAGUUUGAGUGAUUCCUGGUGGAAACGAUACAGUUACUGUACCAAAAGUAUUGUGUGAGAAGUACUGAGUGCCCCAGGGAGGAUGCCUGGAGAAGAUACCCAUCUCAGGAUGUCUCCUACCACCUCUCUUUCCAACUUUCCACUGGGAAAACUUUCCAGCUCUCCAUUCCCUCACUGCCCCUCCUAUCUUAUUUUUUCUUCUCUCUUCUGCCCCCUAUAUACAUUUCACUGUCAUUACUGAUGCACGCUAUGGACCCUGUCCAUAAUAAAUUUUCGUGCAUGUCAAUUUGUGUCAACAUCCUCUGUGCAACACAUUGAUUCAAACACAUAUAUUCUCAGCUAUUUAAAUAAAUAGAAUAAUUAAACACAAACUUGGGCCCAGAACUGAAAGGAAAUAGUAAGAUUCUGAGCCAGCAGGUAACAUUCAGCUGUACACAGAGGUGCCUACAUGAAAUACGGUAGGUUGUAAGAUGUCACCUGUUCAGUAGCUCUGAAUCAAGUACUCAAGGUGAACACCGAUGCAAAACAUCCUCUCUCAAUAUUAACAGCAACACAAGAUGGAGUUCCAG